CCUUAAUGUUUGCUGAAUCACACUGAUCGAUUGAUGGUUCUUGAAAAAACUUAGAAGGAAAGUAAAUUUCUGUUUUCUCGGUACUGGAAUCAAUGGAAGAAGGGAAGAAACUUUAUCAGACCAUUUUAAACGUAGAACGUGGAGGUAAUAUAAGUUGAUGGUGCUGAAGUCUUAUUAGGAUUCUCGUUAGGACUUUCUUUUUUUAAUUUUCUUUCUCGAUAUCUCAGUUAAUUCCAUUUUCCUGGUAAUAUACACACAUGUUAGAAUUCCGAAAAGAUCAUUGCAUGCGUGGUAUGGGACCACAGUAAAUCACAGAGAAUACAUCCAUAGCGUAAUCCCGCAAGGGGAUACACCCUUUGGUUGAUGCUAACGAUAUCAUCCGGCGGUGUUCGCAAACGAAGCCCGUUCGCUAACAAAUGGAAUAGGAUAUCUUAUGCCUAACUAUUCAACGGACGCGAUUACGGUCUGUCUGGACCCAGACGUAAUUGCAAGGUUUGCUGAGAAUUGGAAAAUUGCCACGAUGAAUGGUGUCGAGCAAAGGUCUCUUGGGGCCCGUAGCUAUUUACCAUUCUAAUUGCUACCUCUAUCAUCGAUAAGGAACGCUCUCAAAUGUUAUUUUACUCCAAAGAACAGUGCGUAACUUUUAUCUCCCAAGAUAAGUGAUCUUUUAUUUCAAGUAAUCUUCUUUUACUCGUUACUUAUCCAGUUUACUAAUUGAAUCGCUCUUACAAUAAUUAUCUAGAAGGUGACUUGAACUCGUCGGCAGAAAAACGGAGAGUCCUUUCGAGAUGAGUUUUCCUUUCGACUCGGAGGCGGGAUGCGCUUGAAUAGAGGAAAAUUGAAGGAGAAAGAUGCAAUUUCGUUCCUCGGCUAACUUCUAACGCCGUGUUAGAUGGUAAAUCAAGUUAGGAAGGCAUCUGGUUAAUCCAACCGUUGGUCCGCUAUGACACGAUACCCUGGUUUCUACCACUUCGAUUCGCCAGCCGAAGAGGAGCGUGUCAUCGAUGACGUAGAUCGCCUUGGACCACGGUUUACUUUUGGAUAAUUAAUUGCGCGAGCCAUCGAACUGGAAUUUUGCCAAAAUAUUAAUUCAUUUUCCAGAUGUACAUAGAUCUGUUUAUCAACAUUUCGUGUUGAACGUAAGAGGACAAAAGGAAAUAUGCACCUGGGCCGACCUGCGAAGGACUUGGAGGGAUGCAAACCAAUUCGUUGGUGUGUUUUUCUACUUUUUUUACGGGGAGAUGAUCUUUCACCCCUUCGUACCACGUUCUUACGCUUUGUCCAAGUUUCUGAAGUCCUUAGAGCAGAACCAGCUGCGGGAUCUUUUGUGCUUCUACGUGGACGAACGAGUUUCUCGUGCCCUGCUGGUUCACGUGGGCAACCUUGAAUUUUGCUUUUCUUUAUUAUCCAUUAAAAU